UUUUUUUUUUUUAAUGCUAUAACCAUGGAACUUGGUAAGUGGAGGGAUUUCUUCUACCUAGGUAUAGUACGUCCAGUGUAGUGGUGUGCUUAUAAUCUGUUAGUAACAGCUAUGCAAGCACGCUUUGAAAUAUUUAAAAGAAAAAUGUACUUGGAGCAAAAGCUGUUUUUCAUUUUACCUUUAAAAAGGAGAAGCAUUAAGGAAGUUGAAGUUAUUUUAUUUUCACCAAGAUGAUUAAAAGCUUGGAAAGCUCAUAGCGCUGAAAACAAAUGAAUAUGCAGAAAAGAGAUAAUAAAGUAGAACAGAUGUUAUAUCCAGAUUUGUCAGUGGGUGAGUCAAAAUUGUGAGAUUUAGAAAAGAAUUAUGAUUCAGAGUGCUCAGCCGUGGCUCCUUCUCAGGCCUGUCCUGUAAGAACCCAGUUUUCAUAUUAUACAUAAUCUCUCUUUAUGUGCCUCCUAUGCCUGUCUUUUCAGGUGUGUGUGUGGUCCUGAAAGCAGAAAUGAUACUUUUAGAAAGUGUGUGCAAUAUAUUGUGUUAUCUAUUACUCCAAGCAGUAACUGAUUUAUUUUUCUGAGACAUACAUACUUCCAAACAUAAUGACAUAACAAUUAACCAUAAAUGGCAGAUUGUCUGAAACCAAAUUUAAAACUCUCAUACAGGAGAAGGAAGGAAGGAGAAUUUGAACCUCAUAUUUCCUGCAUUUCUUCAGGAUUAUCUCCUCAAAACUGGAAAUCUGUGUCUUGAACAAGCUGAAGAGUGUCCUUGCCAAACCAGAUAGUAGUAUGUAAGAUUCUCUAUUUCUGUACAUGUCCAAGCACAACUCCCCUGCUUUGUAGUAGGAUGGUUGUAGAUGACAGUCUACUCUAAAAGCAACUAGCCUUACACCCGCAGUCCUGCCAGAAGAUGCUCUCACCUGUAUAAAUGGCAGCUAUUCAGAGUGAAUACUGGCCAGAUCAGCAGUAAUUCCUGUGCUUUUUGGAAUCAUAGUUCAUUACUGAGUUGGCUCAUUAUGCCACUGUGCUUUCUAAAAAUAAGCCAAAUUACUUUGUUGGAGAAUGGUAUACAGUUAUCCAGAACUCAUGGCUGAUAAGUCAAGACUCAAGAACAAAGAAGCGUUUCAACAGUGACCAAAGUUAAUAUCUGUUUUUUGGAGGAAGAUGUCUUUCUGGAGCUGUUUUCAGAGUCUCAGUGAUGAUGAUAUUCUGUGGAGCCAAUCUGUCUUCUGUCAGGGUUUGCUUUUGCUUAAGAUUGGGAUUCAUGUGUAUGCUGGGUAUCGCAGCAUUUCUGUUUUGAUUAGAGUGAGUCUGUGGGAAACUCUUUGUACUUGCAGGCUGCAUUAUUAAGGUGUGAUAAUUCAUAUUGAUAGACUUGGGCAUCAUCUGAACUGUAAGGCUUUUCUCAGGGGAAAUCUGAGAUAGCAAGGUAAAUUAAUGCUUUCUUUGCAGCUUCAUUAUACAAGAUUAUGCUUAAUUAAGAAGAGUAGUUUACUGUAGCUUACUCCAAAAGAUCCACUGUUCCCUGCGGGCUUCUUGAGAUAUCAGUAGGGUUGGAGAAUAUUGACAGUGCUGGCAGGGUUUGCUGGCAGAUAUUCUUGGGAGAGUGAAAACUUCAGACUCAUUUAGAGGGAAGGAAGAAUUAAGAGAGAACCUAGAACAUGAAAAAGUCAAAUAAAAUGUUUAUGUAGGCAUUCAGAGUGCACAGUCUUUUUUUUUUUUUAACCAUUAAUAGAAUAAAAAAAUAAAUUGAGAUCUUUCUUCAGUAUUCAGAAGACUUGUAAUUGUAACAGUUGAACAGUAGGGAUCUGUCUAACUGUGGAUAACAUAUAGGAGCAACUUACAAUGUACCGAGAACAAAGGGAUUAACUUCAAGUGCUGCUGAACAAAUUUGUUACCAGAAACUCUUAACUGAAUGUAAGUCUGGAAUGCAUCCGUUCUCCUAGUAUUGGGGUAGUGUAAUUAUUUGUUUAAGAGGUAUUCGCGUGUUUACUGCCUUUACUGAAGCUGAUGUUUGCUUUGUAGUGACCUACAGGUAGAUCUGGCCUCUUUGUGAAAUCUUGGGCACAGCCAUGUGCCACACACUUUUCCUGCAGUGAGCCAGUAACCUAAGUUCUCAGAAACCAUUUGAAGUAUGCUGUGCAGUACAUUUCCUGCAAAAGAAAAGACUAUCAGAUACAUACUUAUGCCUGUGUGGACAGUUGUUUUGUGUGGCAGUGGUACUGUAGCACACUCCACAUGUGCAUAUUCUAAGAAAUAAGCAAUUUAUUUGUUAUAAUGUAGCAGAUUCUUCCUUUCAGGUUCUUUGUUUCCAUUUUUGUAACCAUCAGUUAUUUCAUUUACUAUUUAUUAGGUGUAUUGCAAAUGGCAGCAUUUUGUUAUUUUAUCAGGCCUAGGGUUUUCUUUUUAUCCAGCUUUCAUAUUCUGCUGUUUCCCUUACUGCCUUUGGGAUUUUUCUGGUUAUGUCUCAUUCCUUGUGGCUCUUACUAGUAUUCAUGGUAAAUAAAAAUUUGUUUGACUGUUUGAAUCCAGUCUGCCCCUAUAGGAGCACUAGGAGAUGAGACUGUGAAACUAGUAGUAAAUAACAUUGUUUUUUUUUCUAGAAACUUGAAGUCUGGGCUGUAGGAGGAAACUUGGCAGUGUGCUCCAGUGUCUGAUUUCUCUCUUUCUUGCUUUUUAGUAGGAUAGCAGUCACGUAUGUUUUGCAUGACUUCUGUACGUUGUUAGGACUUGAUCUUCUCUCAUUGCUCUGAUAUGCUGCUGCUCCUGCAGUCAGUUCUGCUGUUGUUAUCUCCUUCAUUUUGUUCCAUGGGGUUGUUAUUUCUUCAGGUUUUGGGUACUUGCAUUUAUGGCAUUUCUCAAGUGUAUUUCAGGGGGUGUAUUUUAGUGCAAGUCAGUGGGGUGAAGUAAUAGUUUGUCAUUUGAUACAGUGAUUUUGGCAGAGUUCUCUGAGCGUGAAACUAUAAUAGACUGGAUAUUAAGGAGCAAUGUUGAAGUUUCCUCAUGUACUAUGAAAUGAUGUUUGUGUGAACUGUGAGAAUCCUAUUUCUCAAGCUGUGCUGAGCUGAAGAUGCUAAGCUUCACUUCCUUUUCUUGUAACUAGAGAGACAACGUGAGCAAGUGUUUUGGGGAGACUGAAAGUGUAUUCUGGCCUCUGUCACUGAGUUGAGACUGCUCAAUUGGCUUAAUCAAAUCUUUGUGUUUUUUUCUACUGUACUCCCGAGUGCACUCUUUAAAAAAAACAUCUGGGAGAGAUGUGUUUUACUUUAUGUUCAGGUGAGAUACAACUGCAAUUGAUUUUCGGGUUGCUGUUGUAGUUAGAACAGUAAAUACAUUACAUUCAUUAUUUAAUAUAUGAACGCAGUUUCAAGGUGUUUACUUCUGUUCUGCUAACUGUAAUGUAUUAUGUUUUUUUGGGGAUAAACCUGUAAGUUAGUAUGUCCAGCAAUUAAGUACAAGGACUAUCUAUCUAGUCAUUAAUUAGUAUUCCAUUAGUAUGGUUUGUAAGCAGAGAAAUAUAGCACCACUGGUUAAAUCAUCCUGUUGUUUCUGUGGAGAUUCUGAACUAUACAUUUACCUGUUUGCUACAUUACCUAACAAUGUAAAUAUAAUGGCAGGAGCUUACAGCUGUGGCUGUCACAGAGAUACUGACUGGGAAUCAUGGAUGCAACAGAAGGGUGCUGCCCCAGCCAGGACAGGUAAAGACAAAGCAAAUCUCUUGAUCUAACAGUGCUUAGGAUUUUUGGGAGGAAGAUUUUACUCACAUUCAUCAAGUGCCCAACACUUUAACCUUCUCCUAUUGAGGUGCUACAGAAGGAACCCUGGAGGUGUGCUUUUUAAAAGAGCCAUGUCAGAGGUCCCUUAGACAGUUCUUUGGUAAUCCAAGAACAUUAAAAGUUACUUCCAGAAACCAAUCACCUUUUCAAAGUAGUUUGGGGAUGAGAAAGUGCUACUGUUGAGCAGAGUAAGUGUGAGGUAGGGAAGAAAGCUGUCUAUUGUGUGUUAUAGGCAGUGUAUGGUCAGGAGGACUGAGAGCUUGCAUGCUGUUUCAGUGGCAGGACCACAAGGAGCUCAUAUAUUCAAAGAUCAAACUGUAUUAGUAUACUGAAAGCCUUUCUUCUUGCCUUUUGUCUGGUUUUAGAUAUGUUUAAUUAAAUUAAGAAUCUCUCUUGCGGAAGUUAGAUGUUGUUCAGACAUUGGGCUAAAUCAGUAGCCUCUCCCAGCAGGCAAGCAGAGCUUCCCAUUGGCAAGCAGCUGCAGUGCCAAGUUGUGUCUGGCUGUGUAAAAGCAUGUGCUGCCCACCUCAUUUCCCAAAAGUGAAAACCAUGGAUUGACACAGCUGCUUUAAUCAGGUGUAAGUGUGGAAGUGUGAUGAUAAGUACAUUUCCUCUGUGGCUGUGCCAGUGCUGCUUCGUAGAAAAAUACGCCCACUCUGUAAUACGGAAGCAUCAUAAAUCAGAAUUACUAUUAAAGCAGAACUGAGUUUAAUUUGGCUGAGAGACAGAGUUUUAUACAAAUGGAGAGCUUUCCUGUGAGAGAUUGAGUUACUCCAUACUAGAAAACCCCUUAAUUUUUUUCAGUUCAAAUUUUUAAAGUGGAUGGUGAAGUAGUGGAGCUCUAGCUAAACGUGCUAGUGCUGUGUGAGAUCCACCAAUUUAGUUUCCUUAGGAAUUGUCUCUUGACACUUGAAAAUAAGCUUGUUUUUGUUUUGCAGUACUUCUCUUGGAAAGGGUUUUUUCAAAGGUGACAGCUUUUCAAUAUUUAUGAAAUAAAAUUGUCUUUAUUUCUAAGUCCAUGAACUCAAGAAAGAGCUCUUUCAAGACUAGAAGAAUAGAGCUGCUUUAUAAUUUUUAUAUUUUACUCUAACCAAAAGGGUACUGAAUGCACACACUGCAGAGGGGAGACAAUGUAACCUUCUCUGUUAUAUCACAUUAGCACCCUGAGACCUUGCCAUUGCAUUGCCCUUGUCUGCUGGAGGUGCUUGUAACUGUGAACAGACAAAUGGAAAUUAAUAGGUGCCAAAUUUGUUUUGACAUGGAUGAGCUGUGUGAUUCAGAGAGGGAGAACUGCAGGCAUAAAGCAUUCAGGAAAUACAGUGAAGCAGUCAAAACUGAGAAGCAUAUUUAGAUGUCAGCAUCUCUGCCAGGAUUCGAUAACAUGUACUGUUGCUGAAAAUGAAAAUGGGCAAAGUUUCCCAUAACUGAAGGCUUGCUGGACACAUUGAGGGCAGGAUUCAGAGCUAACUAGACUUAAUUAGUUGGUUCUAUCUUUGUAGAGUAGACAGGAGCAGCUGGACCAAAUGUAGCUGGUGAAACUGGAGAGUGACACAGAAACUCUACAGGUACUGUGCAGCGGAUGAAUCCUGGAGGUGCAUUUUUCAAAAGAACCAUGUCAGAAGUCUGUCGGGUGCUUCUCUGGUAAUCCGAGAACAUGAAGAGGCACUUCCAGAAAGCAGUCACUCUAUAGUGAAGUAGUGAAACAGGGGUGAGCUUGCAAUCUCUUCCUGCAUGUAUCAGUCUGUCUUCAGGUAUGAGUUCUCUGCUCUGAGCUUAACUGCGAACUGCUUCUCUUUCAUUAUGAACUUAAUUGAGUAAUAAAGACAUUUUAAGGAUUAUGUAGACUACUGAAUUAUAAACAAUUUCUACUACGAGACUCCACAUUUUUGCCAAGUAAAAUGUAUGGUAGUUAAAUCUCCACAAAAUAUGUUGUUGCACUUUAUCAGAGCAGAUACACAUUUUGGGCCAACCAUUGUGAAAACUUAAAGAUCCAUUUGGAGAACAGAUUAAAUAUUCAAACUGGCCCAAUGUUUUCACUGGCAAUGUGAUAACAGAGAUAUACACUGCUGUUAUUGUUAAAGAUAUAUCCAUUUUUAAGUGAAAAAUAAUUCUUAGGGAAGAUAUUCUGAGGAAGAGCGUUAGGAAACAUGGAUCUAUUUUUGUUGUUUGGGGUGGGAGGGUUAGUGGUUGGUGGCUUUUCUCCUUUUGUUUUGCUUUGGUUUUGGUUUGGUUUGUUUUGUUUUUUUUUGUUUCCUUUCCUCUCUCUGUCUUUCUCCCUUCCUUUUCAGUUCCUGGCACUUAACCCUUCCUAAAGGAGGUGGAUGUGACAGCAUUGUUCUACUCACAACAGCUCCUAUAGUGCUGAUUUCUGUUCUCAAGUAUCUCAAGCCAAAAGUAUCUCAGGUGUCACAACUUUUCAGGAUCAGGGGAGAGCAAGAACAGUAACCAGCUGAAAUCAAAUCCUGCCUGCAUUCUGAAGAGUGACAUUUUAGCAUAUGGUAUGUUGGCUGUCACAUUUGCUUUGGUGUCACACAGCAAACUUGAGGUGCUUAAGAGUAUUCCCACUAGACCAAGAGCAAAAAGAGUAUCUGUCCUGCAUAUAUUAGCCUUGGCCAGUCCUGAAAUGAAACUUCCAAUCUGGAGAGAGACAUUUUUAUAAUGAUGGUUGAAGAGAGUGGUACUGUACGUACUGUCAGUGGACUAUACUGAAUUUGUCCAGAUGGAAGGUUUCUUGUGGAUAUUUUACACUGUACCAAUGUUAGAAGGUAGCUGCAAGUUAAAGUAGUUUGUAAUAGAGCACUAUUUCCCUAAAAGGAAGCUGUUCAGAUGCAGCAUAUCCUAAAAAGAGAUAAAAACAUUUACUUGGGGUUUUUGUCUGUUUUUAGCAAAUGUCAUAAUAAGUGGGAUUCCCCUGAAUAGGAAUCUACCUGACUGUGUAGCAGCUAAUAUAAGAUAGCUCAUGGUUCCAUAUGGCACAGUAUGACAGUUUAUUAUCAUUAUAGUAUCAUCCUUAGACUUUUCAAAAGCAAUUGAUAUAUUAUAGUGGUAUGGGAUAUCUUCCAUCAAUUUUUUAUAUGUUUUCUAGUCUGAGAACUACAAGCCUUCUCUCCCUCUGCUUUAUGGCAUUCCUUGCAUCAGCACAAAGGUAGAAUGAAACACCCCCAGAUCCAAAACUCAGCUCCUGGCAUUGAGAGCCUGCUGGUUCUAACAAUAGGAUGGCAAUUACUCAUGUGCAAAAGCAGUCUAAAGGCAUUGCUAAUCCAGGGCUACUGUCAGGCUUUGGUACAUUGUGAAAAUGCUGCUGAAGCAUCAUGGGAGAAGUCUCAUUGCUUGGCAAUGUUUUGUGCAGUCUCUAACGUUCUGUUAUUUUAUACAUUCCAUCGGUGAUACACUUUACAUUACGUUUUUAAUACAAAAUAGUGCUCUGCACCUGUUUAGUAUUGGCAAAAACUUGGAAUAUGUGAAAUCUGUGUAACAAAGAGGUGCAAUACCUCAAAAGGUGGUGGCUUACGUACAUCAGCUGGAUGUUGUCAUUUGUCCUCAUCGUUUUGUUUUCUUUCCGUAGCAGUCCCUGCUUCUGAUUCCCCCAGGGUGUGGGAAAUAGAGGUGAUAUUUUGGAAUGGAUUUCAUAAUAGAACAUCAAGCUGUAGCACAGCACAGGCAGACAUAACCUAGCUGAAAUUUCUAAAGCAAUAGGCAAGAAAUUCAGCACCAGCACCUGUCUUCCUGGUGAGCUCUGCCUGAAUAUUCCACUGCCUUUUCACCAGCACAGCUUGUUUAAAGCAGGCCCACCCACCUCACUUCACUGCUACCUGUGCUGACAGCAGUACCCUGGGAUGUCUGCCCUCUGCUCCUCACAGGGCUGGCUGUGGGAAUGUGCCACUAUGUGCAAUGGUAACACUGCCUGGCGCUCUGUGGCUGGCAGAGGCAGGAGGAGGCUGCAGUACACGAGAAGCAUCAAAAACAGCUUGGGAACAGAGAUAAUUGAUUGACCCGGGGAGAUCAAAAGAAAUAAGUCUGGACAGACAAUUACAAUGUAACCCUGGGGCAAGGCAAGGCAAUGGAGCAGAGAUUGUUAUGGAGGAAACUGGCAGGAUACAAGCUACUAGGCUGUGCAAACUUUCUGUGAUUUUGGCUUAGAGUGGGGUGAGUGUGUACACUGCAUAAUGUUUAACUAGCUCGCAUUUUGUUUCUCUGAACUCUUGUAAAACAUCAGGAGACUGAAGGCUUUUGCUAAAAUGAAGGGAGCUUGACAACCUGCUGAGAUGUUGUACCUGUGAGCUGGGUGGAAACUGCCACAGAAGAUUUCUGAUCCUUAGACACACCGGUACAUCACAAAAAACACUGGUGCCAAGGAGAGGUUGAGGCCCUGGAUUCUUCUCAGACAACCUUUGAAUACAUAUCUAGUGGCAUCAUGCCUUUACAAAGAAGAGACUGCAUCUUGCCAUGUUUGUUGCCUGCCAGAGCAAGUCUGCCCUCCCUGCCCUCACAUACAUAAAUGUUUGUGGUUGUUUCUGAGUCUCCACACCUCUGCACCUUAUGACCCUGCAAGUGUAGCUGUGCACAUCAGCAAUAGAGCAGAGGAGGACAGCCAGCUGCAGAUGUGUUCUGGCAGAUAGCAAACAUGGCAGGAAGCAAUUUCUUCUGCAUGAUGGUGCGAUGCCAUUGCCUCAUCUCUUGGAUCAGGCAGCAAAGAGCAGUGAAUGUAAAAGGAUGGGAGAAAGAAAUGGGGUCAGGAGCUGGGAGCAAGAGGUUGAUUGCUUGGGUGUGCUCUCCCCAGGCAGGGACCGUGAGCAAGCAGAAAUAAAUUGUGUUUGUGAAUAGAAGACAGAUGUAUUCUGACCUUGCUUACUGAGGAGUUUAAUGAAGGUUUAGAAAGCAACAUCGGUGGAUGAAAAUAUUUCCCCUAAUUUUAAUCUUUGUUUUUCUUUACAGAUUGUUAGAAAAAAUAUUGCUUUGGAUUUUCAACCAGGGAACAGCUGGCUGCUCUGGAUACUGUAUUUUAACAAGCUUAUAUGGACUUAGUGCUCUCAUUAGAGUUACCAGACAAAUGGGGGCCUAAGCUAGAAAGCAUGCAGCUGAGGAUGAAGGCCAUGAUAGUCUGUUUCUCAUCAAAAGCUUGAGAUCACAGCAGCAACGCAGAGCUGGAAGAGCAAGAGAAGUUUGGGGCUCUGAAACACACUGGGAGGGUAAGACACAAGUGCAGCUGUGAAGAACUUGGAGAGCCACUUGAGGAGGAGGAAAAGAUCGGGGAAGAGGAAGGAAGCACACCUCUCCAUGCAGACGAUAAGGAGUUGUACUCUGAUCUCAUGUAAUACUGCAAGGAGAGCAUCCAGCUCCAAAGUUUAUACACCGUGGGCAAGACAAAGGAAAAUUCCAGUUCUGAAUUUGCAGCCGGAAUUCAGGAACCAGAGGAAGGAGCUCAGGAGGUUGUACUUUUCAGGACAGCUGUGGAGCUGCAUUGUGACAAAGGGGUGAGAUGGACGAGUUUCAAGGCUGGGAGCCACCUGGGAGGGGCAGGCUGAAGAGAUGCUGAUGGAGAGGUGACCAUGUCACACUGCUGCCUGAGCCAGGAGCAUCCUACAGGCGUUUGCCAAAUGCAAACUGAAGCAAAAGGAUUCUGGAUGUAAGUCAGAAAUGCAACACUGGACUGCUGAAGUGCAAGGUGAGGAAAAAACUGGGAGAAGAAUGUGAAGGAUUCCUGGCCUCAAUAGAAGGCUUAUACUAGUGCAUAUUGCUCAUCUAGGAUGGUGGUUGUUGUUUUUUUUUGCUGUGGAAAAACUGAAGUCAUAAAACUAUAGGACAUCAGGAUAAACCAGCAGGCUUGCAUGAACAUGGCAGCAUCUGCUCUGUCCUGACUGGCACAGAGGCACCUGGAGGAGUGGCAUCACCCCAUCCAACCCCUCACACCUCAGCGCUUCAGAAAUAGAGUGAGAAUGGAAGAGAAGGGGACAACAUGGUGGCACUGCAGAGUCAGGGCAGAGGUGAGUGACUUACAGCAUAGUAGCUCUUUCAGUGCCAGACUG